rnacentral:rRNA from 1 species
GACGUAGGGGCAAGCGUUGUUCGGAAUUAUUGGGCGUAAAGCGCUCGUAGGCGGGACUGGAAGUCCGUGUUGAAAGACCUCGGCUCAACUGAGGGACCGGCUCGGAUACUCUAGUUCUUGAGGCAAUCAGAGGGUGAUGGAAUUCCGGUGUAGCGGUGAAAUGCGUAGAUAUCGGGAGGAACACCAGUGGCGAAGGCGGCUUACUGGCCCAUUACUGACGCUGAGGCUCGAAAGCGUGGGGAGCA